CGGGGACAGGGUGUGGGUGUACUGCCGCGUUUUCCUGUUUACGGAAACCACACGUUUCCCUUUCACUAGCGAGACUGAAUAAAGUAACCCUCCACUGCAACCAGGUCUGGUAAUUGCAACGCUCUAACCCAUUCUCCACGGUGCUUUGAUAAGUCCUAUCGCUCUCCAGACAGACGGACAGUCAGUCAGACUUACUGACUGACUGACUGACUGACUGACUGACUGACGCCUAGCCCCCCUCCCCCCUCCCUCCCCCACCCCAAGACAGACCCAGAGAAGAUCUGCAGGGUUAAGGACUGGGAGAGGCCAACGAAUCGGAAGGAAGUGCUGCAGUUCUUGGGGUUCGCUGGAUAUUGCAGGCGGUACGUUGAAGGCUACUCAAGCAUAGCUGCUCCUUUAUACCACCUCACAUCUGGUGAUCCCAGAAAGAAAAUGAGGGGAAAGAAGAGAUUGGGUCCCGAACCACCCUUUUUUGUGAGUGUGAAAAGGCCUUUCAGUCCCUAAAACAAAAGUUGACAACUGCUCCAGUGCUGGCCUAUCCAGAUUACAGCUAGCCUUUUGUGCGGUCUUGGCUCAAUUCCAGGGUGGAACCGAGAGGGUCAUAGCCUAUGCGAGCAGAGGCUUGAGGCCAACAGAGUCAAGGUAUCCUGCUCGCAUAAACUAGAGUUUUGCGAUUUGCAAAUUGCGUUUUCUUAAAUUGCGAUGGUGGUUUGAAUUCGAUUAAUCGUUCAGAUCUACCGGCCGGUUGGUGAAAAAGGCACAGCGAUGCCUAUUCUACCUCAGGCGGAUGAAGAAGUUUGGCAUAGGGCCCAAGACCCUACGGGCCAUCUAAAGAGGCACUACAGAGAGCCUUCUGACAGCUAAGAUCCCCGCCUGACAUGGGAACAGCACUGCUCUCGACCGCAAAGCACUGCAGAGGAUCGUGGGACAGUUUCAUGUUUCAGUUUCAGAUCAUGGACAAUGGAGUCUCGCGGCCUGUGGCCUGCUGCCUGUCCCUAUUCCAUUGCACUUUUGCUCUUGUGACUUCUGUCCAUUUGUUUAGAUUUCUAUUGUUUAGAUUAUAUUGUUAUUUCAUUGAUAUUUCUAUUUUUUAGUUUGAUGCUGCAAGCAGGGAAGCCAGAACACAUUUUAUUGUGGUAUACUUGUAUAUGAAAUGGCACUAUGAAUAAUCUUGAAUCUACUGAAAUGUACUGUACACUAUUUGAUAAAUGCAUCAAAUAUUCUCAGUGAAUGCAUGGCCAGAGUAGAGGUAGAAAAGGUGACCAGACGUCUUAUUUGGUCAAUGAAGUCUAUUGAACUUAUAGCUCACAAGAGUAGUUACAUAAACUGAAUCCCAUACCAUACAUAAGUAAAACCGGUUAUUCUAACUUCAACUUUUUUUACCCAUCUAAUUGUGGGUCCUUUCUUCUACCUCAGGCCAUUCCUCAGAAACCAACUUGGGCGGGUUGAAACUGGCUUUGAAUGCAGAUGUUUUUAUCUGUCAUUACCUGUUUUACCAAAGACAGGACAUACAGGUCAAAGAUUUUACACACAUUGACUUCAGCCUGGAGUCGUUAUGUCCAGCAAAGUAAAUUAUUUCUGAUAAAGCAGUUAUGGGGUUAAUCUGCUGCAUCCAAGAUAAAAUCUCCAACAAAGUAAAUAAUGGAGAGAGAGUGAGAGAAUGAGGGGCCACCGACUGGGUAUCCAAGUGGAGGUUGCUGUCAACUUUCUCAGGGAAACGACUUUGACAUCUCUACCAUGGCCGUGGACAGUGGUAAGACCGUAACAGUAGUGCUGGCAGCACUGGGCCGGCCCUUCCGUCUGGGGAUGCUCUACGACUGUCGCAAUGACUCACUGAUCCCCGGUAAAUAAAUACAAGUCCCGAGACAAUA